AGGCGCGUGGUACCCGAGGCCGGGCCGGAGCCGCAGGCCAGCCGCGAUUCCUUCGGGCGAUGCUGGGGGCUUUCCGGUCGGGGCCGCAGCCGCUUCCGGAGCCGCGGGCGAGGAAUGGAUUUUCUUCUGUGUAUUGCUGACACGAACAGGAGACGGAAAUACUGAGUAGAAGAGGGCGGUUCCCUGGCUAAGGCCCCACCCUCAAGCCUGGAUACCCGCGGCCCUAAAUGAGAAGAGGCGUUUCUGUUUGGGGCCCAAAAAGUUGCUUUUUGACCCACCACGCCCCCUAUCCUGCCCCCAUAUAAACCCCAAACCCCAACCUCCAGAGCAUACCAGCAGGUGAGGAGAUACGAGGCAAGCCGACUGACGGCAAAACGACGUAGCAGAGAAAGAGAGAAGAGGAGGGACGUCUGGACACCGAGAGAUGUUUGGCUCGGGGCAGUCAGAGCGGAGUCCAGCCCCUGGGCGGCCCAACUCCAGGGGAAGAUCACCUUCCCACUUCAUCCAUCCCCACCCUUCCAGCUCCCCAUCCAUCCUGCUGAAAGCCAUUUCCACCACUCAAUAAAACCUCGCAUUCAUCCUUCAAGUCCGUGUGUGACCCGAUUUUUCCUGGAUUCUGGAAAAGAGCUCGGAAUACAGAAAGCUGUCCCCUGGUCCUUUGCCCUUGUGAAAAAGCAGAAGGUCCAUUGAGCUGGUUAACACUCCAGCUGUCUGUGGUGGCCAAGCUGAAAGAGCUUUGUAACACUGGGGUUGCAGGCACCCACCUCUAGACGCUACCGCAGAGCCAGAGCCCAAAGCCCUCACCCCGGCCUCUGCACUUGCCCAUCUGCGUGCUCCCCCUCUCGCAAGGGGUUUCUGCAGAGGGGGCUACUGAACAGGUGAGCCACACCCCUGUCGCACGCCCUGCAAGGGGAAUCAGGGAACUCUUCCGUUUCAUUGCUUUGACCACAUCCUAUAAAUCUUGUUCUCCUUGUCUUUCAGCUCCAAUUUGUUUAUACAUUCAGUUUUUACUUUUGACUUUACUCAUGAUUUAUUAUAGAAAGAUGUUUAACAAUUUUCAAGCAAAUGGAAUAAUUUUUGCUCCUCUUUCGUUGUUAAUUUAUUAUUCAUUGGAGUUAGAAAAUUGUUGCUAAAAUAAAUUCUGCAUUUUGAAAUUUA
ensembl:lncRNA SLC12A2-DT SLC12A2 divergent transcript